rnacentral:rRNA from 1 species
GAUGGAGUGCUUGCACUCCUGAUGGUUAGCGGCGGACGGGUGAGUAACACGUAGGCAACCUGCCCUCAAGACUGGGAUAACUACCGGAAACGGUAGCUAAUACCGGAUAAUUUAUUACAUAGCAUUAUGUGAUAAUGAAAGACGGAGCAAUCUGUCACUUGGGGAUGGGCCUGCGGCGCAUUAGCUAGUUGGUGGGGUAANGGCCCACCAAGGCGACGAUGCGUAGCCGACCUGAGAGGGUGAACGGCCACACUGGGACUGAGACACGGCCCAGACUCCUACGGGAGGCAGCAGUAGGGAAUCUUCCGCAAUGGGCGAAAGCCUGACGGAGCAACGCCGCGUGAGUGAUGAAGGUUUUCGGAUCGUAAAGCUCUGUUGCCAAGGAAGAACGUCUCAUAGAGUAACUGCUAUGAGAGUGACGGUACUUGAGAAGAAAGCCC